UACAGAGGUCUCAAGCGUUGUUCGGAUUCAUUGGGCGUAAAGGGUGUGUAGGUGGCGCCGUAAGUCGGGUGUGAAAUUUCGGAGCUUAACUCCGAAACUGCAUUCGAUACUGCGGUGCUUGAGGACUGGAGAGGAGACUGGAAUUUACGGUGUAGCGGUGAAAUGCGUAGAUAUCGUAAGGAAGACCAGUGGCGAAGGCGGGUCUCGGGACAGUUCCUGACGCUGAGGCACGAAGGUCAGGGGAGCAAACGGG
rnacentral:rRNA from 1 species